rfam:Camelus ferus unplaced genomic scaffold scaffold993, whole genome shotgun sequence.
GAGGGUAUAACUCAGUGGUAGAGCACAUGCUUAGCAUGCACAAGGUCCUGGGUUCAAUCCUCAGUGCCUCUA